AUGCACGCUGGCGGCGUGCCUAAUCCAUGCCAGUCGAGCGAACAGAUGAGGAGCUUGCUCCUCUGACGUUAGCGGCGGACGGGUGAGUAACACGUGGAUAACCUACCUAUAAGACUGGGAUAACUUCGGGAAACCGGAGCUAAUACCGGAUAAUAUAUUGAACCGCAUGGUUCAAUAGUGAAAGACGGUUUUGCUGUCACUUAUAGAUGGAUCCGCGCCGCAUUAGCUAGUUGGUAAGGUAACGGCUUACCAAGGCAACGAUGCGUAGCCGACCUGAGAGGGUGAUCGGCCACACUGGAACUGAGACACGGUCCAGACUCCUACGGGAGGCAGCAGUAGGGAAUCUUCCGCAAUGGGCGAAAGCUUGACGGAGCAACGCCGCGUGAGUGAUGAAGGUCUUCGGAUCGUAAAACUCUGUUAUUAGGGAAGAACAAAUGUGUAAGUAACUAUGCACGUCUUGACGGUACCUAAUCAGAAAGCCACGGCUAACUACGUG
rnacentral:rRNA from 1 species